AUAUGGGAGCACGCUGCGGCACUGCUACCGGGGCACUAACCGCCUCCUGCUGAAGUAUAAACUGAAAAUGAAGUGAUUAUUUUACAGCACUUUGAAAUCUACCUUGCAGGGUCUGGAAAGGGUGGAGGAGAUGUGGGUGUGUGGUUGCCAUAUGCUGAACCAAAGUCAAAAACCAACACGGCUAUAAAUGAACCUGCUAGCAAGAAUUUUGGUUCAUUUGGGUCAGCCUGUCAGUUUCAUCCACUGUCAGCUCACACGUGCAGGCAGAAUAUUUUCUUCACUUCUACUCAUUCACCUACCAGAGACGAAUGGAAGGUCAUCUGGAGUUGAGGAAUCAACUGGGAGCCAAAAAGGCAAGACGACCUCCUUUCCUUUUCUGGUUCACUAACAAAAAAAUGACAUGAAAGUUAAGUCUGACCUUCAGAUCAUCAGUAAGCUCCUUAUCAACCAGCCCCUCAUACUGCGAACUCCCGAACUCGAAUUCAAGUAGCAGUGAAACUAAAAGCUCUGCUGAAGUUUUGGUUAGGAGGAUUAUCUUCCCAAUGCUCAUCUCUGUUUUUCUUCCUUCAACUGAAGACUUCCUUGAAGGUUUCAAACACAGGAAGCCUGCCAGCAGUGCAAUAAUUUCUUCUUGUCUCCGGGCCUUCUGUAUUGUCUCCCUCUCACUACUACCACAUAACAGUAGAUAACCCUGGAAGGCAAGGCAGGCCAACUAAAGCCAAUUUUCAGGAGAGCUGCACUUGGCACAACAUGAGGAAUAUGUUGUUUUUCUAGGGUCAUAUUCCAGAAAGAAAAAAAAAAAGUAAAAAGAAAUGCUUUAGACCACAAUGUGUAAACUUGAUGGGAUAAAGAUGACUCAUAUAGUCCUGUCUGGUUCAAGUGACCUUAAAUACUCACACUAAUACUAAACUACAU
rnacentral:lncRNA from 7 species